rnacentral:rRNA from 1 species
CGAACGGGUGAGUAACGCGUGAGGAACCUGCCUCAAAGAGGGGGACAACAGUUGGAAAUGACUGCUAAUACCGCAUAAGCCCACGGGUCGGCAUCGACCUGAGGGAAAAGGAGCAAUCCGCUUUGAGAUGGCCUCGCGUCCGAUUAGCUAGUUGGUGAGGUAACGGCCCACCAAGGCGACGAUCGGUAGCCGGACUGAGAGGUUGAACGGCCACAUUGGGACUGAGACACGGCCCAG